AUACAACGGAGAGUUUGAUCCUGGCUCAGGAUGAACGCUGGCGGCGUGCUUAACACAUGCAAGUCGAACGAGCCUUCGGGCUAGUGGCGGACGGGUGAGUAACGCGUGGGAAUCUGCCCUCAGGAGGGGGAUAACGGCCGGAAACGGCCGCUAAUACCCCAUAUGCCGAGAGGUGAAACGAAUUUCGCCUGGGGAUGAGCCCGCGUCUGAUUAGCUAGUUGGUGAGGUAAUGGCUCACCAAGGCUUCGAUCAGUAGCUGGUCUGAGAGGAUGAUCAGCCACACUGGGACUGAGACACGGCCCAGACUCCUACGGGAGGCAGCAGUGGGGAAUUUUCCGCAAUGGGCGCAAGCCUGACGGAGCAACGCCGCGUGAGGGACGAAGGCCUCUGGGCUGUAAACCUCUUUUCUCAAGGAAGAAGACAUGACGGUACUUGAGGAAUAAGCCACGGCUAAUUCCGUGCCAGCAGCCGCGGUAAUACGGGAGUGGCAAGCGUUAUCCGGAAUUAUUGGGCGUAAAGCGUCCGCAGGCGGCCUUGAAAGUCUGUUGUUAAAGCGUGGAGCUCAACUCCAUUUAAGCAAUGGAAACUACAAGGCUAGAGUGUGGUAGGGGCAGAGGGAAUUCCCGGUGUAGCGGUGAAAUGCGUAGAUAUCGGGAAGAACACCAGUGGCGAAGGCGCUCUGCUGGGCCAUAACUGACGCUCAUGGACGAAAGCCAGGGGAGCGAAAGGGAUUAGAUACCCCUGUAGUCCUGGCCGUAAACGAUGAACACUAGGUGUCGGGAGAAUUAACCCUUCCGGUGUCGUAGCCAACGCGUUAAGUGUUCCGCCUGGGGAGUACGCACGCAAGUGUGAAACUCAAAGGAAUUGACGGGGGCCCGCACAAGCGGUGGAGUAUGUGGUUUAAUUCGAUGCAACGCGAAGAACCUUACCAGGGUUUGACAUCCUGCGAAUCCCUUGGAAACGAGGGAGUGCCUUCGGGAACGCAGUGACAGGUGGUGCAUGGCUGUCGUCAGCUCGUGUCGUGAGAUGUUGGGUUAAGUCCCGCAACGAGCGCAACCCACGUCUUUAGUUGCCAGCAUUCAGUUGGGCACUCUAGAGAGACCGCCGGUGAUAAACCGGAGGAAGGUGUGGAUGACGUCAAGUCAUCAUGCCCCUUACAUCCUGGGCUACACACGUACUACAAUGCUACGGACAAAGGGCAGCAAACUCGCGAGAGCUAGCAAAUCCCAUAAACCGUGGCUCAGUUCAGAUCGUAGGCUGCAACUCGCCUACGUGAAGGAGGAAUCGCUAGUAAUCGCAGGUCAGCAUACUGCGGUGAAUACGUUCCCGGGCCUUGUACACACCGCCCGUCACACCAUGGAAGUUGGCCAUGCCCGAAGUCGUUACUCCAACCCGCAAGGGAGGAGGACGCCGAAGGUGGGGCUGAUGACUGGGGUGAAGUCGUAACAAGGUAGCCGUACCGGAAGGUGCGGCUGGAUCACCUCCU
rnacentral:rRNA from 1 species